rnacentral:misc_RNA from 1 species
UGGGUUUCUUCGGAAUGAGCAAGUGAUCAUUUGAUUGAAUCCGAGUAAAAGGAGAGAUGGAGAGAGAAAGAGUGAAGUAACGUUUCUACCAUAUAUUAACAAUCUUUUCUAUGGGAAGUAUUAGUUUUUGGUCUCUUUUGCGUCUUUGCCUUUCUUUUCUCGUUUUGUUGAUUCCUUUCUCAGACAAGAGAGAGAGAGAGAGUUAAAGAAACAGUAGCAGAUCAUUCUGCCUUCCGUUCCUGUUUUCUUCCAAGUCAAACCCCAAG